AUUUUUGGAUUGAAAACGAUGGGUAGAAAAGAUGCCUCUACAGCAAGGACUCCUGUUGACCAGUACAGGAAACAAAUAGGAACAGUCACCUUCUGAGGAACUGCCAUCCCAGCCUGUGGUCAGGACUGCAAGCUAAGUGGGAUAAACCUCCUGGAUAUGCUCAGGAGCAGCCGAGUGUUACCCAGCAGGGAUAUCCACCUGUGGUCACCGGGGUAGAUAUGUCAUAAAUGUUCCUGGAAGCUCAUUAAAACAAAUCCAACUCCCAAGCAACUUUUGUUUGCUUUUGAGCAUUCUCUUCAGAAACUCUGCAGCCAACAUUUUAUUACAUCAAGAUAUGACUUUUUUUUCAUGGACUUGUCUUUUAUAUCACUUUAAAAAGAACUGGUUGUGUUCUUUUUUAGAAGUGACAGUUAGGAUUUCAUCUAUAAUUACAGCAAGCUCAUACUUCCUUAAUAGGUUGCAACUAGAGCCUUAAAAAAACCCCAACAACCCACAACCAAAACCCAAAACUUCAGAAAACUUGAAACUUUUCUCUUCAGUUUGCAUUACUAACUUAUUGGUUGUUUGAAAUACUGGCCAUAUAAAACACCUCUUUUACUCUUUCACUUUUUUCUCAGGCUGACUGUCUGGUUGUGUUUUUCUGGGACAAAUUUUUUUACACUUAUACCUCUUAAAUCAUUUAGAAAAGUUACAGCAAAAACAUGUUCAAGUCAAAAAGGCCUUGAAUAUGGAGUCAUAUUCCAAAAUAGUUGCACUUUGCGUUUUUCUGACCUGUUUCUAGGAGUUGGUUUCACAGCUUCCUCCACUUCAAAUAUUUUACCUCCAAAUUUCAAAAGCCUUCAUUAUGGUCACAACCGUUUACAGGGAGCUUUAGCACACAGAAGUGCAGCUAUCUCGGUGGUUUCUGAGUUGAAAGCAGUUAUUAACAUGGCAAUGACUUUACCUGUUGUCUUCUUUGAAGGUUAGAAUCAAGGCACUGACCUCAUGCAGUUAGACUGGGCAUUAGAUAUAAGUUUGGAGCAUACAAAAAUCCCAGCCUUAUAUUGUCUUUCUCUUGGUUAAAACUAUAAUUCCUGUAUCUCUGUGCAAUUAGAAGUAUAGUUUAGGAUUACUGGUAGAUGCAUGAAGACUUACCAAAAAGGAUUUGAUUUGUUAAAAACCAAAGGUAUUAUGUAAUAAAAAUUGUUUUCCUGCUUUAUUAAGAUUGUUGUCAUGCACAACACAGUAAUAA